CUUGAACUCACUCAUUUACUAAAAAAAUACAAACACAAUUUUAUUAAGCACUUCCUAUCUAAUAAUCUCUCUCCUUCUCAUCUAAAUGACAUGUCAGCAACGGGAAGGUGGGGCCACGGUGGGGGAUGAAGAUGACACGUCAGCAACAGGAAACCAAAUGGACCCACAACAUCAGUCCCCUAUUUGAAUUUACAAUGGAAUUGAAAAUCGGUGAGUGGCUAUUACAACUUUCUGACUCAUCAUCUCAUCUUAUUACGGUGGGGAUGAGCAUGCCACGUACGCAUAUAUACAUACACAUAUCCACACACAUACAUUUGGAUUUGGUAUAGCGGUGUGGGUCCAGAAGUGGAGAAAUUAUGGGCCCUAAAAGUGAAAUUGUGGGCCAAAUUUUUCUUCUCUUGACAGGCCCAUUUACUCACUCU
rnacentral:lncRNA from 1 species